rnacentral:tRNA from 3 species
GCGCGGGUGGUGAAACUGGUAUACACGCAGUCUUGAGGAGGCUGUGCCGUAAGGCGUGCAGGUUCAAGUCCUGUCCCGCGCACCA